UACGGAGGGUGCGAGCGUUGUCCGGAAUCACUGGGCGUAAAGGGCGCGUGGGCGGCAGGCCAAGCGUGCGGUGAAAGCCCUGGGCUCAACCUGGGAAUUGCAUUGGAUACUGGCGGGCUAGAGUACGGUAGAGGGUGGCGGAAUUCCUGGUGUAGCAGUGAAAUGCGUAGAUAUCAGGAGGAACAUCCGUGGCGAAGGCGGCCACCUGGACCAGUACUGACGCUGAAGCACGAAAGCGUGGGGAGCAAACAGG
rnacentral:rRNA from 1 species